rnacentral:rRNA from 1 species
AGGACAAACGCUGGCGGCGUGCCUAACACAUGCAAGUCGAACGAGAAAGUGGGAGCAAUCCCACGAGUAAAGUGGCGCACGGGUGAGUAACACGUGACUAACCUACCCUUGAGUGGGGGAUAACCUAGGGAAACCUGGGCUAAUACCGCAUAAUACCUACGGGUCAAAGGAGCAAUUCGCUUUAGGAGGGGGUCGCGGCAGAUUAGUUAGUUGGCGGGGUAAUGGCCCACCAAGACAGUGAUCUGUAU